GAUGAAGAACGCAGCGAAAUGCGAUAAGUAAUGUGAAUUGCAGAAUUCCGUGAAUCAUCGAAUCUUUGAACGCACAUUGCGCCCCCCGGCAUUCCGGGGGGCAUGCCUGUCCGAGCGUCAUUUCUGCCCUCAAGCACGGCUUGUGUGUUGGGUGUGGUCCCCCCGGGGACCUGCCCGAAAGGCAGCGGCGACGUCCGUCUGGUCCUCGAGCGUAUGGGGCUCUGUCACUCGCUCGGGAAGGACCUGCGGGGGUUGGUCACCACUAUAUUUUACCACGGUUGACCUCGGAUCAGGUAGGAGUUACCCGCUGAACUUAAGCAUAUCAAUAAGCGGAGGA
rnacentral:misc_RNA from 1 species